rnacentral:piRNA from 1 species
UGCUGCUGCUCUAUUAACCCAAGGGUAA